UGGGGAAUUUUGCGCAAUGGGGGAAACCCUGACGCAGCAACGCCGCGUGAGUGAUGAAGGCCUUCGGGUCGUAAAGCUCUGUCAGAGGGAAAGAAGUGUGGGAGGGUUAAUACCCCUUUCACUUGACGGUACCCUCAAAGGAAGCACCGGCUAACUCCGUGCCAGCAGCCGCGGUAAUACGGAGGGUGCAAGCGUUGUUCGGAAUUAUUGGGCGUAAAGCGCGUGUAGGCGGUUUUUUAAGUCUGAUGUGAAAGCCCCGGGCUCAACCUGGGAAGUGCAUUGGAAACUGGGAGACUUGAAUACGGGAGAGGGUAGUGGAAUUCCUGGUGUAGGAGUGAAAUCCGUAGAUAUCAGGAGGAACACCGGUGGCGAAGGCGGCUGCCUGGACCGAUAUUGACGCUGAGACGCGAAAGCGUGGGGAGCAAACA
rnacentral:rRNA from 1 species